AGUGAACGCUGGCGGUAUGCCUAACACAUGCAAGUCGAACGGCAGCACAGUAAGAGCUUGCUCUUACGGGUGGCGAGUGGCGGACGGGUGAGGAAUACAUCGGAAUCUACUUUUUCGUGGGGGAUAACGUAGGGAAACUUACGCUAAUACCGCAUACGACCUACGGGUGAAAGCAUGGGAUCUUCGGACCUUGCGCGAUUGAAUGAGCCGAUGUCGGAUUAGCUAGUUGGCGGGGUAAAGGCCCACCAAGGCGACGAUCCGUAGCUGGUCUGAGAGGAUGAUCAGCCACACUGGAACUGGGACACGGUCCAGACUCCUACGGGAGGCAGCAGUGGGGAAUAUUGGACAAUGGGCGCAAGCCUGAUCCAGCCAUACCGCGUGGGUGAAGAAGGCCUUCGGGUUGUAAAGCCCUUUUGUUGGGAAAGAAAAGCAGCAGGUUAAUACCCCGCUGUUCUGACGGUACCCAAAGAAUAAGCACCGGCUAACUUCGUG
rnacentral:rRNA from 1 species